CAGGCUUGGGGUGGAGUGGAUGGAAGACUCUGCAGAUGAAAAAGAUCUGGGGGUGUUGGCUGACACUCAGAUUAACAUGAGCCACCAGUGUGUCCAGCAUGCGGCAGAACUCGGCGUGUGAACGCUUUGCAGCUGGACUGUGCUGCUCUGCUGCCUGGAGCUGAAGCACGGGGCGUGCCGCUGUUGGGGGCUUCGGUGUAAUUCCAGCUUCUCAUUCCGAUUCAUGCCUGGUUCAUUAUGGAAAUCAGCCCAACCGUGUGACUGGCAUUUGAGUUGUUAAUAUGGCAGCUGGCAGUACAUUGAUUUAGCCAAAAGAUUAAAAAAAAAAGUUAAAAAAAAAAACAAAAAAAACCAAGAAAUCUGAGCCUGACAAUGUUUUACCUAUAAAUUUUGCAGUAAAGCAGAUGGUGUGAAUGGAAGGAACAAUGCAUAUCCAUAGAAUCUGUGGUUUUGUUUGCACAG
ensembl:lncRNA